UACGGGGGGGGGCAAGCGUUGUUCGGAAUUACUGGGCGUAAAGGGCUCGUAGGCGGCCAACUAAGUCAGACGUGAAAUCCCUCGGCUUAACCGGGGAACUGCGUCUGAUACUGGAUGGCUUGAGGUUGGGAGAGGGAUGCGGAAUUCCAGGUGUAGCGGUGAAAUGCGCAGAUAUCAGGAAGAACACCCGUGGCGAAAGCGGCUCUCUGGAACGGUACUGACGCUGAGACGCGAAAGCGUGGGGAGCGAACAGG
rnacentral:rRNA from 1 species